ensembl:lncRNA
CUUUAUGGAGCUCUAUGGGGCUCUAUGGGGCUCUGUGGGGCUCUGUGAGGCUCUGGGGGUCCCAAUGGGGAUCUGUGGGGCUCUGUGGUCUCUAUGGGUCCCUAUGGGGCUCUAUGGGGUCUGUAUGGGGCUCUGUGGGUCUUUAUGGGGCUCUAUGGGUCCCUAUGGGUCCCUAUGGGGCUCUAUGGGGUCUGUAUGGGGCUCUGUGGGUCUUUAUGGGGCUCUAUGGGUCCCUAUGGGUCCCUAUGGGGCUCUAUGGGUCCCAUUUGGGGCCCUGUGGGGUCUGUAUGGGGCUCUGUGGAUCUUUAUGGAGCUCUAUGGGGCUCUGGAGGGCUCUGUGGGUCCCUAUGGAGCUCUAUGGGGCUCUAUGGGGCUCUAUGGGG